CGCCCUUUUCAUAUCAUAAUAUAUUUCAAUUUGAAAUUUUACGAUAUUUAAAUAAAUACUAAAUAGCAAUUUAAAAAAUUUAACUUCAUAUCAACAAGUGACAAAUAGCCGCCUUAAUCGCGUUCAAUAAUAUUAUAGAAACUUUAUGCCGCGCAUGACAAUUACACCUUGAAUUUAAUGCGCAUAGUCAAAACAUUGCGCAUUUCAGAGGCUAACCUCAUCGAAUCAAUCGACCUACAGUGCCGAUGAAAGCUAGAGAAAGGCUUUCAAUUAAAUCUUCGUGCAUAUUACAGUGACCUAGUGUGGAAUUCAUCUGUACCUCAGGAUUCUUAUUUUCUCCCAAGACUUUAGCUAAACAACCAGAAUGCCAUCAGCAGAGCCUCCGCCACCCGCCGAAAAUGGCGCGCCAAGAAGUGAGCUGGAACAGCUCCAGAUGCGAGCUGGACAAGUUACUGAUGAUUCUUUGGAAUCGACAAGACGUAUGAUGCAACUAUGCGAGGAGAGCAAGGAGGCUGGCAUUCGUACUCUGGUUGCUCUAGACGACCAGGGAGAGCAAUUGGAUAGAAUUGAAGAGGGGAUGGAUCAGAUAAAUGCUGAUAUGAGAGAGGCUGAGAAGAAUCUGUCGGGGAUGGAGAAGUGUUGCGGGAUCUGUGUGCUGCCGUGCAACAAAGGAGCGUCGUUCAAGGAAGAUGACGGUACAUGGAAGGGCAACGACGACGGCAAAGUGGUGAACAACCAGCCCCAGCGAGUGAUGGACGAACGCAACGGCAUCGGCCCGCAGGCCGGAUAUAUUGGCAGGAUAACAAACGACGCCCGUGAGGACGAGAUGGAAGAGAACAUGGGCCAGGUGAACACGAUGAUAGGUAACCUGCGCAACAUGGCCAUCGACAUGGGCUCUGAACUAGAGAACCAGAACCGACAGAUCGACCGCAUCAACCGCAAGGGUGAAUCGAACGAAACGAGGAUAAAGGUUGCCAACGAGCGUGCACACGAGCUCCUCAAGUAAACGUCGGCGGCUCCACACAACAACACACAACCACACACAACUGUUAUUUCUCCGUUUUAAUAUUUUUUUACGCAGCAGAUAGAAAAUAUCGGACAUUGACCUUAUGCUACCUGUCCUUGUCGCUCGGAUAAGUCUUUGUAAUUGUGUCUAAAGUACCUACGUAAUAUAUAUAAUAUGUAAUCGUAUCUAGUGGCUUAUCUAGUAACGUUAUAUAAUCAAUGAAUUCUAAUGUUUGCAACCAGUACAUUGCUUAAACAGUAUUUUAGUUAACUUUGCUCAUAACAUUUAUUCGCAUAUAAUAUAAUAAAUAUAUAAAAUUCAACUUAUUAUAACGAGGAGAUUACGAAGUUUAAUAUAAAGUUGUUUACUUGGUAUUUAAAAAAAUCUAAAAUUAUAUUAUCAUAAUAAUAUUUAUAGUACUAGUAUAGUUAGUUAGUGUAAACUAUUUUGAAAAUAAACCCUUUUUGUGUUUUGUCUUACAAUUUAACACGAAAUCGCAAAUUUUCUUAUUUUGGGAGUAUUAUGUUAAUGUACUGAUUUUUUCAUAUAUUUUUAUAUCAAAUGAGAUUAUAUUUGAUCAGAAUAGUGUUAUUUUUGAAUUUAAGGGUAAGUUAUUUCAUGAAAAUAUGACGUAAGGAUCGUUUGAUAUGUGAUAGUAGAUCGAGAGCUAGUUGUAAGAGCAGCAUAACAAGUGUUUCUAGGUUUAUACACUUCAACGAAUUUCAUAGAAGCACUUAUGUUUAAAUAGUCUGCUUUCAAUAAAUUAUAUAAAAGGUUUCUGGGAAAAAAAUCGCAUCACAUUCACCAUUUUUAAUCAAUAAGUAUUAAUGGAAAAUGUGACUUCUUAGAAAUUACAUAUCGCAUAAACAUAUCUGCUUCUAUGGAAUUGUAAGAUUUUCUACUUAAAAGUAAAGAGCAUUUCAUUACUUUUUUCUUGUGUGAAAUUGCUUGCGUUCAAGAAAUUUCAUUUGUAAAACACUGUUGUGGACGGUAAAGUAGUUUAUGAACAUACUUUGAGUAAUAAACUUACAAAUUUUUCUUAAGUUAGGUGACGAAUUUAAACAUAAAUAUUGUUUGUUUUUGCAAAUAGUAACUAAAAAGUUAAAUAUAAAAUAAAUGUUAUUUCAGUUGUUGAAAGGUUAUUCGUCGAGAUUUUGUUAAAAGUAUAACAAAAUAACCGAUUUGCAUCCCUAUUAUCGAAGUAAUCGGCGGGCGUGCUGCGCUUGACAACAGCUGAAUCCCCCAUACCAUAAAACUCAGUGGUCAUUUUGUUAAGGGAUGUCCAUUAAAGAUUGCGAUAGCAAAUCGACAGUUGCUAUACGUGUAAAAUUUAUCAAGUCUUGACGAACAAUCUAAAGUUUAUAAUCACCGCUAAUUUUAAACUUAUAGCGAUCAAUGUACACAAAAUAUGUUCACAAGACACUACAGACACUAAACACACACACACAAACAUCACGAGGACAGCACACAGACAUUGGUGAGAGCAACGAGACGCGCAUAGCAGUCGCGAACCAGCGUGCGAAUAAGCUGUUAAAAUCCUAAACACCUAUAUAUAUAUGUAAUACCCACUCGUAUAAAUUUACAAAUCACAUGUCAAUCCUUAACGGGGCAAAAAUAACAGUAGUAGAGCAUUUUAAAUUUUUAUUUGCACAUCAGUACGGCCCUGGAUUUGUACAGAAAAAGUGAUGUAUAAUUAUUGUGUCAAAAAUUCUGUUCAUAUAUCAUGUAAAUAUGUGGCAACCAAAUGGCAAUAUUUUAAUAUGAAAAAGUUUGUAUUAGUACACAGUCUGUAUAUUUUGUAAUGUUUUUAAUUUUACGGACCAAUAUAAUAUGAAAGUGGUGUUUCAUCAAUGCGGAAGUUUCUUAACAUUUAUGACAUAUCAAUGUGAAUUCCUAAUUAUGUAUUAAUGGCAAUAUUGAAAUGAUUGAGUUGAAAACAAAUUUAAUAUUUUUGCCAUAAUAUAAUUAAUUUAUAACGAUAUUAUAAAUUAAAUGGCCAUGUAAAUUGACAACUUUAAAAGCUAUUGAUGUAGGUAUGAUAAAUUGAAUUGAAAAUUUAUAGUUAUGGCAAAAUAAAAAGCUAUUGAUAUUAGGUAUGCUAAGUUGAAUUUAAAAUAUAAAGUAAUGGUAGUAGCGCCAUCUUUGAAUCAAAUCGUUAACAUCUCGACCAGAGAUUUAACGAGGCCAGUAAUAGAUAGUAUUGUAAGGUGGGCACGCCGAUUAAAUAGUUUAAUAUGAAAACAAUAAUAAAAGGAAUUAAAUUAGCUUUAAUCUAUUUCAAAUUCUAUAGUUAUGCAGUUACAGUUGAUAUUGUGAUUUCGUACCAAAUUGUAAUGCACGUUCGCUAUAACCUCACGUCAUAGGUACGAGUAGUUUCAAGAAAAUACUGGCAGGUCUAAUAACUAAAAAGGUACGGAGCUGGGAAGCUGGUAUUACAUUUUGUAACCACAGACAUGCACGGACUAUAAAUGCAUGGAGAGCGCGUCGGCUGAUUUUUGUAUUUGCACAAACUUACCAAUCAGCGGCGGCGGAACUGCGUUGUUCGCUUCGGGGUUAGCUUCGCUGGCUGCAAUUGGCCGACGCGUGGCUGACGCAGUGACAAAUGAUUCACUAUUGGCGCGUUGGCGUGUAAUCUGUGACCUAAUCUUGUUCUUGCAUGUUUGGUGAGAUAAUUUAAAGUGUAAUUUUUUUUUUUUUUUCUUUGAUUAAUUGGCUAAUAUAACAGUAGAUGACUUGUUACUCGGUCACAGAUAUAACAAUUUACAUCUCCUGCAAUAAGUUUAAAAACAUUAUUAAUUUGGUAUUUAUAUUCUUUAUUUUUGUGUGUAUCAAAGUGCUCUAUAAAUUAGGAUAGGAUUAGUCCCAUCCUAAUAUGAUUAGGUAUCAAUGAGUGAUUGAUGUUCCA